rnacentral:tRNA from 1 species
GGGGGUGUAGCUCAUGGUAGAGCACUUACCUAGCAUGCCUGAGGGCCUGGGUUCAAUACCUAGCACCUUCC